UUUAAACCGUUGACCGAGAGAAGUAGCAGUUGGAUUGUUUUCAGAGAGUCGCUGGUUGGUGUGAAGCGACAGCAUGAUAAUUGUGAAUGGACUCGGGAGGGCAGCUUGAAAUCUUUGAAAGUAGACGCUGACGGAGACCUGAACCGUUAUCUGCAGGAGUGUAUGUUAGUACAUGAUUGAGUGGAUUACACCGUAAUCAAACAGGGUGGUACCGCAGGAGAUUUUACAACUCUUGUCCCUUUC
rnacentral:ncRNA from 1 species